AAGCUCUUUCAACAGUUCAUUAUGAAUACUUUUAAGCGCAUUCUGUUUAAAUAUUCAAUAUUUAUUUGGACAGCCUUGUGUCAAUUUGGUUCCAUUGCGUCUACGAUGGCCCAACGACAGGGACAAAAGGGAUAACCAAAAUCUGAUUGAACUUCUGCUUUAUAUUAUAAUAUAAAUAAGCCUUUUAAUAAAUA